rnacentral:rRNA from 1 species
UACGGGGGGGGCAAGCGUUGUUCGGAAUUACUGGGCGUAAAGGGCUCGUAGGCGGCCAACUAAGUCAGACGUGAAAUCCCUCGGCUUAACCGGGGAACUGCGUCUGAUACUGGAUGGCUUGAGGUUGGGAGAGGGAUGCGGAAUUCCAGGUGUAGCGGUGAAAUGCGUAGAUAUCUGGAGGAACACCGGUGGCGAAGGCGGCAUCCUGGACCAAUUCUGACGCUGAGUGAGCGAAAGCGUGGGGAGCAAACAGG